GGCAAGAGACUGACUGGCAGUACAUUAUAAACUUGGGAUCAUCAGCAUUAGCUCCUGAGCAGUCCCAUAACACUUCCACAUCAGACUUCAUCUGGUGUCUUUUGGAGAUCACCUGAGCACUCCUGCAGGAGUGUCAUGGUCAAGAGCAGAGCAGAGGCUGCCAGAAGGAGAAAAGCCCUGAACUGUUCCGCCCUUGCACUCGCCCAGGUUUAGGCAGAAACACCAGUGGUGCACAUUUACCAGGUUUUAUUCUUUGGGAUGAUCUGAACUGAGAGACAGCAAACCCCAGGGCAGAACUGAACUGGGACUUCCUGGCAAAUCUCAAGAGGGAAGUGAACAGGGCAUUGCAUGUUUUGUCUUCUAUGGCCAACGUGGCCUGGUUUGAAAUCCAUGAUCUCAUGCCAUGCUGGGCCAGGAAAAUGGCAUAUCCAGGGCAUGGGUUUCCAGCAUAAAAUACAAGUGAGGUGAUCUGAUGUGACUCUAUUCACCUGCCAACGGCCCUGGCAGAAAAAUAAACAGGUUCUGGGGAUGAGCUGCUGCUGGAGGCAAAGCAGGAACCAUUAGAAGAGCUGCCCUGACCUGUGAGGAACUGGUGUUUUUGCUUUGAACUUCAGCAAAUCUUAAUGAACUCUUCAUAACUGGCAAUCUGGGGUUUUCACUGAUGAUUUAUUUUCUGGAGGUGCCAAACACAGGAGACAAAUUCAACAUUGGAAAUACAAAUUUUGGGUCUCACAGUUGGUUGUCCAGGCUGGUGAAGCAGUUCCAACACCACUGCAGGUCACUCUCUGAGUUGUAUCAGGAGUCAGAUUUGUACAUGAAGGUCCA